CUACCUGCCAGAACUGAGUUUCACUGGUACCAUUUUUAGUUGUAUCUUCCUAGAGAGAGAUGUAUUGUUGGCAUAUUUAAGGAAAUACAUAUGUAAGAAGUUUAUGGAGGUACAGGAAGAAGUAAAAAAAAUAUGCUUUUUUUCUUUUCCCUCAAUGGCAGUCUAGUCUUCCAACCUGAUUUUUGGAUUUGGCCUGAUGACCUAUAAAUAAAAGGACAGUUCCGUAGCAAAAUGAAUGAUGAAUCCCAGAGCCGAAAGCAUCCUUGAGUUUUAGGCAAACUUGCUAACCGCUGGCAGGAUGACAUGUGUGCAUAUCAUGAGGUAGCUUGGACUCCAGGUGGCCUUGGUCAGAGGAAUGCCAGGGAACUUAGAGCUGUGGCAGGGCAUACACCUAAGCUCCAAAGGCCUUGCAUUGCAAUGGCAAGAUCCAGACUUUUCAACCUGUCAGGUCUGGGUUCCCAUCCAAGCUCCAACUCCUGCUUCCUCAUUGUAUAACAUCAAGCAUUUUCACCUUGCUGUGCCUUAGUAUCCCUGUCUGCACAAUGGGGACAGUAACACUCAGUCUCCCAGGGGGUUGCAUGAGAACAUGCUGUCCUAUACCUGUCUUCACCUUGAGACACACCCACUGAAUGACUCUUCCCUCACUCCAGUCCAACCACUAAUGGGAGCAAGAUAGAAAGAGUAAAGUGUUGGAGAUCCCCUUGUGGCUAAGGUGGUUAAGAAGUUGACAUGGUCUCUGAGGACACAGGUGGAACCCCUGGCCUGGCUCAGUAGCUGGCAGUUCCAGCAUUGCCUCAAGCUGUGAUGUAGGAUGCAGGUGUGGCUUGGUGUGGCUGUGGCCUUGGCUGCAGCUGUGGCCUGGGUCCUUCCACAUGCCACAGGCAUAGCUGGCAAAAGAAAGAGGAAACAAUGUUGAGAUGAAAGUGGUUCACUUUUUACUAGCAAAGUAGUCCUGGACCUGACUAUUUUGAAACUAGGUUUAUUCUUCCUAGAGGCAGAGGGUGAUUUGGGGGGAGGGGUGAAUUCAUAGUGUCCCAAAUUUCUCACCCUUGCUUAUCAUACUGACCCCUCAGGCCACGCUGGAGUGCUCUGUUGGGGGAGAUGGUUGCUGGUCCUGCCUGAACUGUGUUGAUCUGGGUUAAUAUCUGAGCAUGUCUGUGGCUCUGAAGCUGUAAGAUGUGUUCCCUUCAGAAAUCAGUGUCUCUUAGGAAGCACCUCGGCGAUGCUUCCCAAACUUGAGCAUCUGUCAGAAUCCUGCAGAGGGACUUCUCACCCCCCAGAGGGCAGGAACCCACCUCCAGGGAUCUUGAUUUUGUUGAUCUGGAAUAGGACAAAAAACAUUGCCUCUUGAACCGCUAUCGAGCCAUUCCCUGAUGCCUCAGCAGUUUCGGGAUCUGGCGUGGUCACUGUUAUGGCUCUUUUUACUAGUUUGGUGCCAAUUUUGGGGCUUUUUUUCAUCCUCUUAAGGAAACACUCAUGGAACCUGGAAUUUCCCAGCCUCUGGGUGGAAUCAGAGCUGCAGACAUCGACAGACACUACAGGGAUAGAAACCCCAGAUCCAAGCCAUAUCCUCAACCCAAAUCACAGGUCAUGGCAAUGCUGGAUCUUCAGCCUACUGAGUGAUGCCAAGGAUUGACUGCAUGCCCUUGUGUUUACUAGUCAGAUUCCCUACUGCUGAUCCAUGAUGGGAACUCCUGUGGCAUAGCUAUGGAAGAUCUCUGGACUGGGAAUCUUACAGAUGACAUGGGUUGGCCAAAACACAGACAACCCAAAGUUGUGAGGUGGGGGGAAUGAUCCUGCUUCUUGGGUACCCCAUCUUGAGAGACUUGGUUUGAAGUGUGGGGUCCAGAGACAGGCCUUCUGUCAUCUCAUGCUGGCCUAGUAGACCAAUGGUUACAUGAUCCCAGGAGUCUCUUCCCCCAGCCUCAAUUUCCCCAUGGGACAGGUGGGAACUAUUUUAGUACACAGAUGGCUGCUAUGAGAUUUGGGUGGGUUUGUGUGCAUUUCCACACCUGACAACAGGACCUGGAGCCUCUGCUGCAUCCCUGGUAGUGACUGUGACACAAACUGGGGUGUUUAGUCACAUGACUUCUUGACUCUCCUUUGAGGAGUGAUCACAGCCAGAAUUUUAUGGAAACCUUCUUGGUGGGCCAAAUAUGCUUCCUCUCAAAACAGGCCAUUAGGUGUUCCCACAGUGGCAGAGCUGGUUCACAAUCUGAUGUGUCUCUGUGGAAAUUCUUGUAAAAUCCCUGGACCAGAGCAGGGUGUCAGGACCCAGCAUUGCUAUGUACACCUCCGGCCUAGGCUUUUCAGAAGUCUCAGACACUAUCCCUGAACCCAAACUUCUGCAUUACUCAGGAACAGCAGAAAAAGAGAAUAAUGCAUAGUCCAGUCAGUGUCCAGUUUUAAACAGCUGAGUGGUUUGCUUUGAAAGGAUGCUAAAAUUCUCCUGGGGAAAAGGAAUAUAUAUUACAUCAUAACAUAAUAUGAGGUAUGGUGUUUAUUACCUUUUAAGUGUAUGUACAGGGAUGUCUGUAUCCAUACUCAUCUGUGAUGUGAUACCUCCCUCAAUAUGCGAGCACAGGCUCACACACACACAAACAAUCACGUACAAUCAUCUAUCUGACACAGCCUAGCAUCUUCUCACCAGAAAAAGGCAUAUUUUAUCAUUGAGGAGUAACUGUGAGCCUUCUACAUAUCCCUGCAAGGAUUCCACUCCAAUCCAGUUCAUGAGAUUUCUUCUCAGAAGUCAGACCUGUUAGAGGAGGUGGAUUCUGGCUGUGGCGUGGGUGAGAGAAUUGGGAUGGUGUGAUAUACACAGGGGAUCACACCAUGAAGAGCUCUUCUCUCAUUUCUGGUCUGCACUUGAGGAGGGCCUCUGAGGUGGGCCUGGUUGUGUUUGAUCCACCUUGAGCACAGUGUGCCCUGGUUUUCUCCUCUAGGCCCUGGGGUAGAGAUGGAAGUCCCUAGGCCCAAGCAUUUUUUAAAACUGCCUUCCCCUGUCCAUUCGGGCCCUGCCAAUUCCCCACCUACCCUCUGUCCUGCAUGCUGGGCUAAACGGUUCCCCAAGCCUAACAAGCUCCCAGCCUGAAAGAGCUGCAGGCUAUCAGCCAGUUGGUGGAGACCUGUGCAACAGACAUUAAAGCCAUCAGUAAAGAGCAAUGGGGGUGAUGUUGGCCAGCAGUCUUGCACUGAAGGCACUGUGUGAAAGGGAGAGCCUCUGGGGAGGGACACCCCUUUCACCUUGGUGGCCAGAGAAGGCUUCCUGUAGAAAAUGGCCUUUGAUCUGAGAUUUGAUGAUAUGGCAACAGCCAUGGGGAGAAGCCAGCAGGCAGAACGCCCAGUGCAGGUGCCCUGAGGAGGGAAUAAGCCAGGGUUGGAAUUCUCCACAGAAGCCCCCAGAUGAUCAGAGCCAGGUAGGAGAAGACUUCCCUGGUGCCAAGAGAAAGGAAGGGGAAAGAAUCAGAAGGUGUAGGGUUUGGGGGUUUGUUUGGACUUCUUUUGUAUCUGUAAAUUCAAAAACACAAACAAACCAACAAAAAAAAAAUUAAAGCAAAACAAGAAUUCAGUGACAAUGCAUGAGGUGAGAAAUGAAGUUACUUUUACCAAUUUCUAACAAUUCCUCUCCUAUAUAAUGAAGAUUUAGAUUUGAAAGGAUAAAUGUGAUUCAGCAACCAUGGUUUAAUGAAAAGUGGAUCUUUUAUUGAAAUCAGAAUACAAUCCUUAUACACUUUCAAGGUGAGGGUCCGGGAACCUGAAAUGCAGGUAUUCCUGAGAAUGAUACUAAACGAAUCCCUAUUUGAGCCAAUAUUAAUGAGGCACUCUAAUGCCAUCAGACUCAACAGGGAGGUGUGAGAGCAUCAGUGAAAUAGAGCAGUUGGACUGGAAAGGGAUAAAUCCAAUCUCCUUGUCUAGGGAGAAGUCAGAGGUGUAGGUCUUGGGGUGGCUGUGGGUGUUUAGACCCAGCUGGUCUGACCAGGGAAUCCAAAAUGUGUGGGUCUUGGGAAACACAAGCAGUCCCACUGUGGCCUUCCUGCUUCCUGGGGAACUGGAUGAGCAGAGGUUACCAUGGGAAUUUCGGGUGCCUGUGGGCCCUAUGUGGAACAGAAGGAGCCACAGCCCUGCUCAGGAAUGGCUGGAGAUUAAAGUGGAGUUGGGCUAGCUUUGUCUCAUUGCAGCGUUUUCCCUUCUGAGCUCCAGGAGCUGUCUCUUGGCACACAGAGCUGCCAUCCUUCUUUUUAGGGCUCUCAUCUCAUAGAAGAGGAUCUCUUUCUGGUAAGUGACAGUGGUCCUGGCCAACUCUCUGCCCAUGUCUUGUACUCUCUUCUUGUAGACUCUCCCCUGCUUACACAGAAAGCCCAGACAUAUAAACACCUGGGGCCAUUUCUACUGGAAGGCUAGGUCAUGAGCUUCCUCCUCAGUGGAUCUUCUCAGGAGUAGCUGGAGGUGCUCUUCAUGUAAAUGAGGCAGCAUCCUGAGUUGGAGCCAUGGAACCUGAAUCUCACUUUCUGGCUGCGUGUUUUCCGCCUUAAUGGAUGCUUGCUCAAUUUGGAGACUUUGUACUUUUCCUGCAAGCUCUCCAUUGAUGUGAUGGUCUUCAGGCAGUUUUUUGGAUAUGACUUUGAUUUCUUCUUCAUGCCAUUGCAGGGAUACUUUGCCCUGCCCAGGGUCAAAGUGAUGCUUCAGAUGGGCUUCCAGCAGCUGUCCUGGGGGAUGGUCAUCAUCUGCAUCUCAGGUUCUCUCUUCAUCCCAGGGCUCAGGCCAGUGGAUGGUCUUCAGGGUGCUUUUGCCCAGAGAUGUCAGCUGGCUCCCUUUCUCCUCCAUGACCCGCUGCCUCCAUGUGUGUAAACAUUCCAGCACAUUGUUUCUUCCCAUUAGGACCCACUUUGUCUGCUACAAUCCCUCCAUUUCCUGGAUGAGCCAUUCCAGAUGUUGCUGAGGGUGAGUGUUUUCCUUCAGCCUAUCCAUGAGUUUCUCCUGUAUGUGGUAGACACUCUCCUGGAAGUUUUCAGGGCAUUUGGGCCUUGGUCCCUUGAGAUUAUUAGGGUUUUGAGGUGGCUUCAAGGGACCAGAUCUGUUCUUGGAGGUGAGCCGACAUCAGCCCAAGACAGCAAAUGUGAGAGGACUCACUCUUCUUUCAUUUUCCAAGGAAGCCUUCCCUGUGGGAGAUGACCUUUUGGGGAUUUGAUGAAGUGCCACGUAUCACAGGCUUUGCAAUGUGGGAACUCUCCUGUCCACAGCAGUUGACUUGAGAGCUUCAAGACCCUGUGCCAUCACUCCAAUAUUCCCCCUGACCUUACUGUAGACUUCAGCCUGGCCAGAACCCCUCUUGCCUGGCUCCCUUCCUCUUCUUAAAGGAUGCCCUCUCUGGAUGACCCAGACCAGCAAAGCGGCCCAGAGUAUGGUCUCCAAGGGAACCCCCAGGAUACCUAGAACUACUCUCAAGGUGUUACACAACACCAACAGAUCAUUCCCCAGGAGCUCCAGGGCCAGCAGCCAAAACAUUUUGAUGGCAGGUAACAUGCCCUCUCCAGCCCCACAGACGCCACAGCUCUGCCUCUGACCUUGGGCCACAACUGACCCCACAGAACUCCACCACCCAAACAUGCAGGUGCCUGUAAACUAGGGAAGAUGGCUCUUAGGGCUAGAGGAGGGUGAUUCUAGAGGUUCUAGAACACUCUGCUAUCUGUUGGCUCUACUUCCUGCUCAGUGAUCUCACCUGAGCACUGCCUUUGGGGCGAGCCAAGGUCUGAUUGCAGCCUGGAGCUGGAUCUGGCCAUGGGUCAACUUAGAAGGUCAGACAGUGCCCUGACUAUGCUGGGUAGCAUACAUUAGUAACUGAAUUUUAUCAGAAGAAUGAUAUCUGUUGAAAUCCUAUUACUGUGUACACAGUGAUUUACCAUGUGGCCUUUAUUUCUCAUCAUAGAAAGAAGAUAACUUAUAACUCCCCUUUAGUUCUUGAAAAAGUUCUGAUUUGU
rnacentral:lncRNA from 1 species